GUUAGAACAGAAUAUCAUCGAGUUAAAGGAGAAACAAAAUGAAGAAAUGAAUAUGAUGAAACGAAAUCAAGAGAUGAUGCAAUCGGAAUUGUUCCAAAUGAGACAAAUUAUGAGAAAAUAUGCUCCUAAUAAAUUGAUGUCUCAAAAUAUCAAUGACACCUCAAGUGAACAGGUCCCAAACAGUAUUGGACAUGAAUGAGUAGCACAGACAACAAGGAUACCUGGUGAUAUAGAAAAUACACCAUCUUCUCACUGUACUGCUCUUCUAUAUCAUCAACAGUACUAUUUGAGUUUUACUUUGAUUUUUUUUUAUUAUGUUUAUUCUCAUUGUUCUAAUAAUCUAUUUCAACUAGUAUAUUUUAGUUUUUCCAUUGGAUCCUAUUCUCACAGUUCGAAUAUACUACAAGCAUUAUUCAACA